GAUGACCUAGACGUCUAUGCCACAGCUCAUUGCCAAGGCUAAUAGCAUUACAUGCAAAGGAACGUGAAAUAGAACUAGGAAAAACCGGGAAAGGAGAAAUGUGUAAAGGAAAGAGUUGUCCUACUUUAGGCACCUUUGUAAGCAUCUUCCUGGACACUGGAUCCUGCACAACACAACUAGAACGAGAAAAAUGGACAUCACAAUUAUUAUCAGCCAAUUGACCAACAGAGAUUAAAUUCAUAAGAGACUAGAAGAUAUAAAAACAUUAGUUAAGGAAGAAGAAAAAUCGCCAAUAGCACUAAUAGGUAGAGAAUUAUCGUUAGCAGUGUGAAUUCAAAGAUCACCAUCAUACUCUCUAAUGUUGGAAAGAGGAUCAUAUGAUUAGAGGCUCCGAAGUUUUAAAAAAAAAAAAAAAAGCUUAGAAGAAACGGUAUGAAUACUCGAGAGACCAUAUGCAGAAAAAGCGGAAUAGAUUAUCUGUUGUACCAUUUUAGGAGUGACACUGGUUGGGUUUGCUAGGGCAAUCAUAACACUGAUAGGAACAAUUGGCGAGGCAGUGGGCAACGCAGCGGAGCUAUUGGCACCAACGGAGGCAUAAUAUGUAGUGCUAUGCUUCCUUUCAAGUCAAAUGGGACAAAAGGAGAUGUGAUGACCCUGUUUAUUGCAAUAGUUACAAUGUUUCUUGGGACAAUCCAGAGCAAUGUGACCAAAGGCUUUACUGUUAUAACAUUGGAUAGCACGUAUGUCUCGAAACUUAUUCCUUCCUUGUGUUGCAUAAGCGACAGUAAUAGGAGAAUUAACGGUGGCCCCAUAUUCUAUAGUAGCUUGAUUGACGAUACGUUGCUCCUCGCAAAGAAGUUCACUCAAGCAAGCAUCUAAAAAUGGUACCGGAUGACUAUUCAUUAGAUUAGAGCAUGCAACCUCAAAGUCAAGACGUAGCUUCAUCAAGAAUUGGUCUCUCUUGCUUGUUUCAUGCACUAUUUGAACAGCAAAUAAGGCAAUAGCAGGAACAUUAGCAUAAAUAAUGUCUAAAUACUCAACCCAAAGAUUUUGAAAAAUAGAAGAAUAAUCCUCAGAUCGAGAGGCUUCCCUAUGUAAAAUUAGCCAACUUGUAUUUCAAUCCAAGUCAGAUUGUCUUGUUUGUAAACCUUACUAAAGUAAUCUCACAUAUCAGUAGUCAUUUUAUAAGGUCUCAAAUUAAAAACAAGGUGAUGUUCAACUGAACCAAUGAUCCAAGUCAUAACUCAGACAUCCUUGAUUUCCCAUUUGGAUAAAUGCUCCACAUCUUUAGGGGCAAGAUUGCUUCCAUCAAGAUGACCCGGCAACUCUUUUCUUUUAAUAAAUAAUUGAAAUUGAAAUUUCCAAGCUGAAUUAUUUUUGCUAUUAAAACAAGUAGGAAAAAAUUCAAUUUAUUGGAUGACAUGAUUAAUAAUGCAGCUCUCUAAGAGUAAAACAAAGAACCCAGACAAAAUAAAUGCAGCUCUCUAAGAGUAAAACAAAGAACCCAGACAAAAUAAAUAUAAAACCGGCCUAGACUAAAAGAACAUAUUGACCAACAUGCAACCAAGAGAAAGCGUCGACCAAAUUCACAAAAAAUUCAAGAAACUUGAACCAAACUAGCAAAAUAUUGACCAAAGGCAAAAUCGUGCACACCAAAUGGGUGAAUGAUAAAUACCCAACCAAAAUCGCAAAAGGAGUUAAAAACCAAAGUCACCGGAGGCUGGAAUACGCAAAUAUGAGAGGCCGAAUAACAAGAGGAGUUACCGACUAGAGACACCAGAGGAUGGAAUACCUAGAUGAAAAGCCAAAUUCCACUUUUCAAAUUUUUGACGCCCACAAAGCACGAGGAGCGAGCAACAGCCAAUCUGAAAUUACAGUCUGAAGCCUUCAACAACCGAAAAGGAGGAAACUAGGUGAACAAAAACUAAUCAAGUUAGGCGCCAAAGCUCUGAUACGAUGUUAAGAGCCGAAAUCUGCGAGAGAAAAUAGUUUAAUUUUCUGAAAACUCGUUUAUUCUUUUUGCCUCUUUUGUCCAAUAUGUGUGCGUGUGUGUAUACACAGAUUACAAUGAAACUAUAUAUUUUGCAAUUUCUAAGAAUCGGCUAUCAUUAACCGAAAGAUAAAUUCCAUAAUUAUCUAUAGUAACAGAUAUACGGAGGAUUGCAUUAGUGACAUAUAGGUGAGCCCAAUAGAAUGCAACGAAUAAAGAACCAAAUUGAGAAAGAAAGAGAAAGGGAAGGAAAGAGAGGAAGAGAGAGAAGAAAUAAGAGAAUAUAGUAUGAAAUUGGGGAGAGAGUAUAAUUUAUAUAUAAACAAAGUUUGAGUAUUACAAUGAAUAGAUUCUUUAUAUAGAGUCUAAUCAAACUUAAUUUGAGAAGGACAAUAAUCUUAUUCUAGUCAAAUUAGAAAAUUAAAAUAAACUAAUCUAAUCAUAACAAACAUAACUUAUGUCAAAUUCUAUUUUAAAAUUCUAUUUAAAUCUUAUAUUUAUUCUUUUCAUUUUCCAUCACUUCUUUCCAAAUGAGAAAACUCGACUCCUACGAAAUAUACUGCAAGACGAACUUUCUUAUUGAUCAAAUGAUCUAACCAAAGAACUUUUAAUGAAGUAACAAUAGGGAACUCCAAAAAAAUAACAACCCAUGCAACUCAUCCACAAAAAUUAUAAGAAAUCCAAAUGGUGUUUUCCAUACCUUUUUCAUCCCUCUGGGUUAGAGGGAAGUUCAAAACUUAGCUAUGCCCUUCUUAAUUCUAGAAACCCAAAAGCUUGUGAACACAUUCAACCAACCAGAAAGCAUGAGUAACUUGAUGCUAGUGCAUUGAUAGAUUGAUUCACAGAAACAGAUGAGUGCAAUCCUUAUAGCUCGAAUGUAGGAAAAAUUUUGCUGCACCGAAAACAAAAUAUUCAUUUAAAUAUGAUGGUCAAAUAGAUUAUUUUCAUCUAAGCUAUCUAAACAUUUUUUUUCCUUUCAAAAGCUGUGCAAAAGAAACACGUAAUAACGAGGCUUAAAAAUUAUUCAUCAAAAACAAGCAUUAUUUUCAUUAUUUAAAUAAAUUUUUCUUUUUAUCUUAACUUGAAAAAUCAGGAAAAGGUGCAAUAGAGAUCGGAGCUAAAAUAACAUGAUGGUAACUAGUAGGCAACAAUCAAAUGUCAAUAGGAAAAUUAUAUGAUCGAAUAGUGGCCUUGAGAUAAAAUGGCAAUCCGAAGAAUAUCGCGUAGCUGAGGUAACAUUAGAACAAAGUCGGUUGUAAAUUGGCACAUAGGAGUAGGCGAUAACAAUUCGGCACGAAGGUGAGGAUGUGUAGAAUGUCUGGUUUAGGUGGCAACGCUUAAGGCAAUUCCUCAAUGGUAUCAAAUUUAACUAUGUCAAAAACAUGUACGAGGGGAUACAAGACAAUUCUCAAAAACUUCAUUCUUACCAUUAGAAUAUUCAAUAGGCUCAUAAAUAAAAUCCUCAUUUUCUUGAUCAUGAUAAAGACUAACAUAAUCGGACAUUGGAAGUGAUCAGGACUGCAAUGGUAAGCCUAGUGUGCUUGGCAAAGAUGGAAGGAUAUAUCCCAUAGGUUGGCUUUCAGGUAAGCUUCAUCAAGGAUUGGGAUUCGAGAAUGUCGUCAUGCUUUUUUCAGAAUUUAAAUCGUUGAGAAACCCAAACUCUAGGACAUGGAUAUCUUUAUAAAUAUCACACCUAUGUAAUAGUUAUAAGAAUUAAACCAUUAAGAAACUUGAACUCUGAGACGUGGAGAUCUUUAUAAUUAUCAUAACUGUGUAAUAGUUAUUCAAAGUGGGCUAGAUACUAGCUAAUAAUAGAUGUACUUUGCCAAAGUGCAAAAAGAAUAGAACUAGGGGCUUGGAGUUGUUAUAUGAAUCGUAUGUGGUGUUGAUUAUUUGAAAUAGCUAUAAAUUAUCAUGUAGCACACUUAACAAAACUCUAAAACCGAAUCAAAUAAUUUUUGUUUUUAAUUAAACCGAACAAAAGAAAAUGAAAAAUUUGACCAAUUAACAACUAAAAGUAAAUUUUAUUUAUUUAAUUAAUUUUUAAAAAAAAAAAUCGAAAUUGCGAAACACUUGAAAAAAGUAAAGGUAUUAAGAUAGUAAAAAGUCUACAAGAGCAAUUGAUAUGGAGCCAACUGUAGGCAUAAUAAUUAUUCAAGCAUUCAAGAUUCCAUGCGAGAAUCGGAUUACAUCAGUGUGGCUCCUUGAUCGGAAUUAACAACAAAGUACCUAUCAAUAGUUUUUUUUCUUUUUGGAUUUUUUUUUUCUUGUAACUAACAAGAACAAACGUAAAUAACUAAGGAAUGAACAAUUCGGCCUUUUAUUUUUAUAUUUUUAAAAAAAUAAUAAUAAGACGUAACCAACUAUAGCUUUGUUGGGGAACAACUCCGACUUACGUGAUAAAUGAAAAAAAAAAUGUUUUUGUAACAAUAAGUCGCUGUUUGGGCUGCAUUCUGAAAAAAAUGCAUUUUUCUCUCAUCUUUUCAACCAUACAUUCCCAUAAAAUAAUAUUACACGUAAAUUCAAAACUUUUUCUUAUUUUUUAAUCACACAAUUUUUUUAAAAAAUUACUAUUCAAAAAUAAAUUUUUCUCCAAAAUGCAUUUUAGUUGGAGCCCAAACAUGGGCUAAGUAAAAGCUAAAACAAAGUGAGAAACAUCUUUUGUCAACUAAGUUGUUUUUUAUUUUUUAUUUUUUUUUCAAUUGCUGAUUUGGGGGAAUUUUUUAUGGUUUAAGGUGGCUAUGAUUGUAAGUGUAUAAGUUUUAAUUUUGAAAAAGAAAUUUUAGUCAAAGAAAAAUGAGUUGCUCUAAUAACAAAUUGAUGUAGAACAUAAUGAACAAAGAACAAGUUUAGAUAAAAAGAGAAGGAGAAGAGAAGAGAGAUGAAAGAGAAGAGAAUAUAGAAAAAAUUGGGGAAGAAAAGUAUUAAUUUAUUUAAUAAUUAAACUUGAAGUAUGAAAAUGAAUAGACAAGCUUUAUAUAAAGUCUAAGCAAACCUAAUUUGAGAAGGAAAUAACAAUCCAAUUAUAGUUAGACCAGAAAACUAUAAUAAAUUAAUCCGAUCAAAACAAACAUGAUUUGAAAUUAAAUUCUUCAUUAAAAUCCGAUAUUUAUUCUUAUCACCAUUGUCCCUCAGUAGGCAUAAGGCGGAUUCCCAAGCUUGGGUUCUAGUUGAUAUAGGGCUGAUUGUAUUAGUUCCAUGGCAUAGUAGAGAUAUGGUUGCUUAGGUCAAGAAUGUUCCAAUAGGACUUAACUUAUUUUUAUCCAUUUUUCUUUUCUUUUCUCUUAUUUUCUAGUUCAGAGAUAUGGGGAGAGAUUGGGAUAUUUACCACAAAGAAUUGAUGAAGUAUUGGAAAAUGUACUGUCAUUAUUGUAUGUUAGUACUUUCACUAUAAUUUGGAUUAGUUCGUUAUAUGCAACAGUUGUAUACAUACUGCAUUUGUCACUCCAACGGCAAAUUUUUUUAUUUGUGGAUGGAACUUUCAUGUUAAACUUUUGACCUUAGGAUAUAGCCUUCAGUGUACAUUAACAUUGCUAACUAUGAUUUAUAAAAUCAAUGGUUCACUGUCGCUGUUUUACUUGCACUUUUUAAAUUGGUGGUGAAGUGAAUAGUAAUAUUCCCGUGUUUGUGUUUUAGGUAGUUUUUGAAUUCUACGUAAUGAUUGCACUUUUUUAUAGUGUGAGGAAUUAUGGCUUGGGAAAGUACACAUACCUCGGAUAUCAAAAGUUCCAGGAAUAUCAAAAUUGGCUUCUUACUCUCUGUCCAUUAUGGAUGGCAAACGAGUGAGUAACUAGUAAUCUUCUCUCGCUUACAAACUACAUACUCAGGGUAUGUUGGUAUGCAGUAGUGGAUAGUACAAUGAACAAUAUUUUCCCUCUGUCUUUUUUAUUUAACACUGUCGGAUUACUAUCCAACAUGCUAUCAAAAUUAUGAAAGUGUACACCAUGUUUCAGUGACUUUGAUUGAUGAUCUUCAGAUCUCUGCCUAAUGCACCUCAAACUCCCAAUCUUUCUGAUUUCAGGCAAGAAUAACGUGCAAUGAUCUCUGUGAUCAUGUGUGGGAAUUUCAUUUCACUGAGGUAUAUACUUCAUUCUUAUUGGUGUAGCCAAUCCUUGCAUGUUUCUGAUGAAGCUCUAGAAAAUUUACUUUGAAAUUUUUAGGUUCAGCUAAACAUGCUCAUAGUCAUGUACGGUUGCUCUAAAAGAUGUGUUAGGUGCAGGCACUUUCCUCAGUUGCCAUCUCUAGAAAACCAUCAAGUCCCCUAAUUUUUGUUUCUCAUUUACCUUCGUUUAGCCGCUUUAGUUCUUUCCUAUUUUAUGUUCUAUUUCAAUUUUGCUUCCGCAAUUUGUUUUCAUGUUUCAACCUACACAAACUGUUAAAUUUUCUCAAAUGUCAGAAGUGUUGAAGACUGAAUCUCAUAUGCGUGACAACUCUUUCAUUAACCCAGUCUUUCGUUUCUGCAUUCCCAACUUCUUUGUUUGCUGCAAAUGCAGCCCAAGUUCAUAUUGUCUCUUAGAUUAGGCAACCAAGAUUAUUUGGAUAAUUAAAUUCGAACUAUCUCAAGAAACACUUAAAUUAGUGUUCCAUUUUUAAUUACCUUUACGGGAAACUCCCCUAAGAAAGUAUUUACUUGAUGUUCAUUCUUUUAUGCAGCUCCGAGCUGCCAUAGUUCUUCUAUAUUUAUAUUUCAGCUGAUUCUAUAGAAAUAUGGCUUUGCUAUUUGUUUUCAUAAAAUGUAAAGAUCCCAAGUUGUUUGAUUAGCUGUCAUAUACUUCCACAGUCCUUGAAAGUAAAACUCCCAACUCGAGCCAGAGCUUACAAAUUUAUCAUGUGCCAUGUCUUUUUAGUUUUUAUUUUUCUUCUCUUUGGGUACAUAUCUUUUAGGUUCUCCCUUACCCCGUCUUCGCAGGUAGUAGAUACAGCAGCUAAAACUUUACUGUUCCAGUUUCUACCAAAUUAUUCAUACAAUUCCAAAUUAUGAAGAAAAAGUUCCAUUAGUAUUUUCAUUUAUUAUUUACCUUUCUUUUGACAUUUAAUCCUUUUCUGAUGGGCUAUGUAGUUAGUUGCUCAAGAAGCUAUUACUUCAUGGACUAAUUAAUGCUGCUGUAUAAACUUUUUUCGAACCUAGAUUAUAUUUCAAUUUGUCAGGAUGAAUGACCACAAAUUUAUUAAGGAUAAGACUUUAGUUAUCGUUCUAUAUUAUGCUCAUUGUCCUCAAGACAAUGUAGACAAAAUCAAAGCAUGGGCCCCAAAAAAUGAUUAAUUUGAUGAUCUUACCCGGAUAUUCUGAUGAUCUCCUCUUUCUGUAGGAUGCUCCUGAAUAUUGGCGAAAUCUUGAUCCUUACUGGACAGGCACAGGAAGUACAUUGCGCCGGUAUUUCCAUCCAGAUGGAAGCAUAUCUGCAGAUCCUGGUGAUCUGGUAUGGGGCGGCCACGAGUCAUGCUACACUACAGUUACCGGAUUGCUGGAAGAUGGAGAAAUACGAGAACAUUAUGUGAGAAUCAAUCGUUGGCCUCAAUUACAUGUUUUGAGGAAGCCCGAUUGGGGUUGGGAAUUAUCAAACCAUCUCUACUGCUACACUAGUGUCCCUGAUGCCGAAAAGGAAGAUGGAACGGGUCCUCUGUUUCCAGUUUUUUAGUCUAGUUUUGAGGGUGUUUUAUGUUUGAUUAAUGUUAUAGACUCUGUUCUGGCAAGGAGAUUUUGUUUUAUGUAUGUAUGCAUGUAUAUAUUGGUAAACAUGUCGUGUUUAUUUCAAUGAAAAAAUUUCAUAUGAAUCUAAAUGGGCAUGGCUGUCUUGGGAAAAAAACACGGGGGAUUUGUGUAUCUAUAUUGGAUUAAACUACUUGUACAUGACACCCCCUAUGUGUAAAAAAUUUGGCAGUUGAUUGGAAAAAGUGUCGUGAAGAUAAACGUACUCACAUGGAUGUAAAUCACCGUGUCAAUCUUUAUGUACUUAUAGCAUUGUCCAUUUAUAUUUUCUAUUAACAUUACAACUUUAAAAAACAAAUAUGCUAUAGUGCUAGGAAGGUUGACACAAUGUCACGUGAUAUAUUAUAUUAUUGAACAUUUUAUAAUAAAAUCAACUUUUCCAUCCAAUCAUCUACCAUCAUUUAUCUUUGCAUUUGUCAAUAUCUUUCAAACAAAGUGGCAUGAUCUUUUUAAAAACAUUUAAAUAUAAGAAGAUAGAAAGACUUGGCCUAUGAGAGUAACAAAAAAAAUUAUUGUGGUCUUUCCUCUUUGAAAUGAAGAAAGAGUAAUUCUAUUUCACUUCCCUGAAAUUACAACGUCAAGUUUUAAUUUGAUAUUAAUUGAUUGAUAGAAUUAAAAAACUCGUUUAAUUUCAAAUUUCAUUUGACAUAUUAUGAGAGUGUUUGAUGGGUAUUUUUAUGAAAAAAUGCAUUUUAAAAUAAUAAAUUGAUAUGAAAUGUGUAGUUGAGAAAUGAGGAAAUUUUUUUUUUAUAUGUAAUAUUAUUUUAAUAAAGAAUGUGUAAUUAAAAAAAAGUGAAAAAAAUACAUUUUAAAAAAAAUAGCUACCAAAGGGCACCUAUAUAGUGCCAUUUAGACUAGGAUGCAAUCCCUAGGGAACACUUUACCUUCUUCCGGACUCCCAACGCCCCACCCUAACCCAACAAAACACACCCACCACUGAAAAUCGCCGCCCCUAUUCACCCACCUGCCAUCCGGAAAUGGCUCGUUAUCACUGUACACGAAUCCACCUACUCCCCCAUCCUCCUUUCUCUCCCUCAAUCACUCAGCCCUCAGGCAGUUUAUCUAUAAAACUCACCGGGUCACCUCCGAGUUUUCUUGAAUAUUUGACUCAGCUCUUCCAAUGGAGGUCGAAACUCGCGCUCCUGCAGCCUUUGAUACUUCUCAUUUUUCUUCUACUCCCAUAAACCACUCGGAGAUUUGCGACGUUGAGCUUCAAUGCCGUAGAUGCCCGGCUACUCGAAUGAAGCUCUGGAACAGCACGAAGUUGAAUCACCAGCCUCCAAUCUUAAUAAUUAUUGGAAUGAAUACGCAAAAUUGAAAGUCAAUAAUUAUUGGAAUAAAUAAGUUUUCAUAUAAUAUUAAGGAGAAACAGAUUGAAUGAUUGGUCGAAAAUGAAAAGAACUCUUUCUUUUAUCAGGCCCAUUGUGAUGCUAGAAAGAGGGUUUGAAUUUUGGUAUUUUUCUUACAUUUCAAAUUGU
rnacentral:lncRNA from 1 species